rnacentral:rRNA from 1 species
UACGGGGGGAGCAAGCGUUGUUCGGAUUUACUGGGCGUAAAGGGCGCGUAGGCGGCCACCGCAAGUCGACUGUGAAAUCUCCGGGCUUAACUCGGAAAGGUCAGCCGAUACUGCGGGGCUAGAGUGCAGAAGGGGCAACUGGAAUUCUCGGUGUAGCGGUGAAAUGCGCAGAUAUCGGGAGGAACACCAAUGGCGAAGGCAGCUCGCUGGGACGGUACUGACGCUGAGGCGCGAAAGCGUGGGGAGCAAACAGG